AGGACAAAGCCAUACAAGAGCUAA
rnacentral:siRNA from 1 species